rnacentral:rRNA from 1 species
CGGGGUGAGUAAUGCUUGGGAAUCUAGCUUAUGGAGGGGGAUAACUACGGGAAACUGUAGCUAAUACCGCGUAGAAUCGGGAGAUGAAAGUGUGGGACCUUCGGGCCACAUGCCAUAGGAUGAGCCCAAGUGGGAUUAGGUAGUUGGUGAGGUAAAGGCUCACCAAGCCGACGAUCUCUAGCUGGUCUGAGAGGAUGACCAGCCACACUGGAACUGAGACACGGUCCAG